CCUACGGGUGGCUGCAGUGGGGAAUAUUGGACAAUGGGGGCAACCCUGAUCCAGCCAUGCCGCGUGUGUGAAGAAGGCCCUCGGGUUGUAAAACACUUUCAGUGAGGAAGAACGCCUGGUGGUUAAUACCCAUCAGGAAAGACAUCACUCACAGAAGAAGCACCGGCUAACUCCGUGCCAGCAGCCGCGGUAAUACGGAGGGUGCGAGCGUUAAUCGGAAUUACUGGGCGUAAAGCGCGCGUAGGUGGCUUGAUAAGCCGGUUGUGAAAGCCCCGGGCUCAACCUGGGAACGGCAUCCGGAACUGUCAAGCUAGAGUGCAGGAGAGGAAGGUAGAAUUCCCGGUGUAGCGGUGAAAUGCGUAGAGAUCGGGAGGAAUACCAGUGGCGAAGGCGGCCUUCUGGACUGACACUGACACUGAGGUGCGAAAGCGUGGGUAGCAAACAGGAUUAGAUACCCUUGUAGUC
rnacentral:rRNA from 1 species